rnacentral:rRNA from 1 species
AUUGAACGCUGGCGGCAUGCCUUACACAUGCAAGUCGAACGGCAGCACGGGAGCUUGCUCCUGGUGGCGAGUGGCGAACGGGUGAGUAAAGUAUCGGAACAUGCCCUGAAGUGGGGGAUAACGUAGCGAAAGUUACGCUAAUACCGCAUAUUCUGUGAGCAGGAAAGCAGGGGAUCGCAAGACCUUGCGCUUUAGGAGUGGCCGAUAUCGGAUUAGCUAGUUGGUGAGGUAAAGGCUCACCAAGGCGACGAUCCGUAGCGGGUCUGAGAGGAUGAUCCGCCACACUGGGACUGAGACACGGCCCAGACUCCUACGGGAGGCAGCAGUGGGGAAUUUUGGACAAUGGGCGCAAGCCUGAUCCAGCCAUGCCGCGUGAGUGAAGAAGGCCUUCGGUUGUAAGCUCUUCGCGGGUAGAAUAGGCGCGUUUCUAAUACAGGCGUUGAUGACGGUACCGCACUAAGAAGCACCGGCUAACUACGUG